AUAUCAAUAAGCGGAGGAAAAGAAACCAACAGGGAUUGCCCUAGUAACGGCGAGUGAAGCGGCAACAGCUCAAAUUUGAAAUCUGGAGCCUUCGGCUUCCGAGUUGUAAUUUGAAGAGGGUGUUUCGGUUGCGGCCUUGGCCCAAGUUCCUUGGAACAGGACGUCAUGGAGGGUGAGAAUCCCGUACAUGGCUGAAGGCUUGCUUCCAUGUGAAACCCCUUCGAAGAGUCGAGUUGUUUGGGAAUGCAGCUCAAAAUGGGUGGUAAAUUUCAUCUAAAGCUAAAUAUUGGCGGGAGACCGAUAGCGCACAAGUAGAGUGAUCGAAAGAUGAAAAGCACUUUGAAAAGAGAGUUAAACAGUACGUGAAAUUGUUGAAAGGGAAGCGCUUGCAAUCAGACUCGCUCUCGGUUGAUCAGCGACGCCUUCUGGCGCGUGCACUCUGCCGUUUGCGGGCCAGCAUCAGUUGGAGCGGUGGGACAAAGGCGGCAGGAAUGUGGCUCCCUCGGGAGUGUUAUAGCCUGCUGCGUCAUGCCACCAGCCCCGACUGAGGUCCGCGGUUCGCCUAGGAUGCUGGCUUAAUGGUUGUAAGCGA
rnacentral:rRNA from 1 species